AAUAUUGCGCAAUGGGGGAAACCCUGACGCAGCGACGCCGCGUGAACGAUGAAGGCCUUCGGGUCGGAAAGUUCUGUUCUCAGGGAAGAAUAAAUUGACGGUACCUGAGGAGGAAGCCCCGGCUAACUACGUGCAAGCAGCCGCGGUAAUACGUAGGGGGCAAGCGUUGUCCGGAAUUAUUGGGCGUAAAGGGUGCGUAGGCGGCCUUUUAAGUCAGAUGUGAAAUCCCAAGGCUUAACCGUGGGUUUGCAUUUGAAACUGUUAGGCUUGAGGGCAGGAGAGGAAAGCGGAAUUCCCAGUGUAGCGGUGAAAUGCGUAGAUAUUGGGAGGAACACCAGUGGCGAAGGCGGCUUUCUGGACUGCACCUGACGCUGAGGCGCGAAAGCUAGGGGAGCGAAC
rnacentral:rRNA from 1 species